rnacentral:rRNA from 1 species
CACGUAGGGUGCGAGCGUUGUCCGGAAUUAUUGGGCGUAAAGAGCUCGUAGGCGGUGUGUCGCGUCGGCCGUGAAAACCUGCAGCUUAACUGUGGGCUUGCGGUCGAUACGGGCAUCACUGGAGUUCGGCAGGGGAGACUGGAAUUCCUGGUGUAGCGGUGAAAUGCGCAGAUAUCGGGAAGAACACCCGUGGCGAAGGCGGCUCUCUGGGACGGUACUGACGCUGAGACGGCGAAAGCGUGGGGAGCAAACAGG